GCUAAGAGUUUUUAACUAAAAAGUUCAAAUUAGUAGGAAAGAAAAAUUGUAUUUUAUUUAUCGCCUUAUAACUUUAGAGUCAUACUUAGAGAUAUUUUAGUAAGGUAAUUUAUUGAUUUUCCUAGGAGUUUUCUCAAUAACUGAGAAAAAACGGGAAAAUGUAUGAAACGUAGGUAUUGAAACAUAUUACGGCCUUUUUUGUCCCUGUGAACAACUUUUCUACCAUCAAUUUUGCUCUGAUUUACAAUGACAUAAUUUUUCUGAAAGGA